rnacentral:rRNA from 1 species
AGCUCCAAUAGCGUAUAUUAAAGUUGUUGCAGUUAAAAAGCUCGUAGUUGGAUUUCUGGGUCAAGCUCCUGGUCCGCCACAAAGUGGUGCCGACUGUGUGUAGCGUUGAUUCAUCCUUGUGGGAAAGUUAGUUAGGCCUUCGUUGGUCGGCUAUCGGAACCGCAUCAUUUACUGUGAAAAAAUUAGAGUGUUCAAAGCAGGCUUUCGCUAUGAAUACAUUAGCAUGGAAUAAUAAGAUAGGACUUUGGAUCUAUUUUGUUGGUUGGAGACCAAGGUAAUGAUUAAUAGGGAUAGUUGGGGGUAUUCAUAUUUAAUUGUCAGAGGUGAAAUUCUUGGAUUUAUGAAAGAUGAACUUAUGCGAAAGCAUUUACCAAGGAUGUUUUCAUUAAUCAAGAACGAA